rnacentral:pre_miRNA from 1 species
AUAUGAAUCACCUGAAGAUCUUUUUAAAAUCUAGAAUCUGAUUCAAUAAUUUUGGGUUGGGGCCUGAGAUUUUUCAUUUUUUACAAGCUCCUAGGUGAUGCUAAA